rnacentral:tRNA from 2 species
GUCUCUAUGGCUCAGUCGGUAGAGCGUUGGUCUCAUAUUGUUCUAUAUGACCCUACCUUGAGUUCGGGAUAUCCAAAGGUCGCAAGUUCGAGCCUUGCUAGGGACA